ensembl:lncRNA
GUAAGGCAAAGAGGCGCGGCUGGAAGAACCAGACUGAGAAAGUGCCACAGGGCGGGGGCCGCAUCCGCCCCUCGGCUUGUAGCUACUGACCCGACGGCUUUGUGAGUGAAAGUGAGGAGACAUUUCGAGGCAGGUGUCUGUGCCCCCAUUCAUCCCUGUUUCCUCGGCUACCUUGACUUUCGGUGUGAAAAGUGAGGUUAGGCCCUGUUUCCCCGACCCUUCCCUCUCGCUGUCACUCUGGUGGCCUGGCACAGCCUCAGAGGUCGGCCGCUGUAGCCCCCAUUGCGGACUCUGCUGCCACCUUCGUAUUGGCUCACCUUGUUGGGGCCCGAUUCAGUCCUCUUGGAGCUCACGCUCCAGUUGAGAAAAUGAACGGACGCAGGAAACUACUGGAUAAGAAAAGAGUAAUAAAGGGCUACGAUUGUGUGAGUUUCUACUGUAGCGAUGAAUGUCGCUGUCAUUGGAACCUUCCCCAAGUGCCUUCUAGUGAAAGCCUUUCUUCACUCGGAAUAACCUGUGGUCUUUUGUACGUUUCUUGAAUGUAAUGGCUCUCGGUUGUAUUCUUCAUGCACAUGUGUUACUUUUCCUGUUUAAGUACACGUUAAAGAAAUGUGUAUGUUCCUGUUUAACUGCAUGUUAAAAAAAAAAAGUAUGUGUAUUUCUAAGUUGUGAGCACGUGCAAGAAAGUUCAGAGCAGAAUAGCUUAUAUUAGUGGAACAAUAAAUGUCUACUAAUAGAAUGGAUGAAUAAGUGUCAUUGUUGAACGAAUUGAACAUAAACUAAACAAAAAAUCAGUGAACUAAAGCUACCGUUUUUCAUAUGGAUAGAGUCAUUAACCCAAUAUUGAGGAAGAAAGGAAAAGGCAAGUUGCAGGAAGAUGUAUAUAUGACAUACCAUAAAUAAAAGUUUAAUAAUUACAAAAAGGUAAGAUCAAACUAAAAAUCGUAUAAGGAAAUGAUAGAUAACAAAUUCAGAAUACUAGUUACUUCCAGAGAGGAACAGAAGGGAAUGUAACAAGAAGGGUUCAUUUGUAUCUGUAACGUUUAUUUUCUACCAGAAGUAUCUUGAAAAUGUGGCAAAACAUUAAGCUAAGUAGAGGGCACAUGGGUGUUCACUUGUAAUUAUUUCCUUUACUGUUCUAUAUACUUGAAAUAUUUCCGAGUAGUUUUUUUUAAGAAAAGAAACUUACAGAAGCAACUUAUUUGUAUCUUGUUAUUUAUGCCAUUUCGUAAGUCUACAUUUUUACUGAACUGGUUAUGAAGUCUGUUGCAACUUAUCUGUUCAAUCAUUGCUUUAAGUUUCUGAAACUUAAAAUGAACUUUUACUUUGGGAAAUGUUAAAUUUCUAUUUUUGAAAGAAAGCAGUGUAGCAAGGAGGGUAACCCAGAGUCAGACUGCCUGAGUUCAAAUCCCAGCUCUCUAUUUAUUAGGCUUGCAACCAAGAACAAGUUACUUAAACUUUUCUGUGAUCCAGUUUCCUUGUCUGUAAAGGGAGAUAAUACUUACCUAACAGGAUUUUGAUAAGAGUUAAAUAGACUAAUACAUGAACACGGUGCUCAGUCAAUGCUUAGUAAAUAUUGCCUAAAUAUAGAUUAUUUUAAAAUAUAAAAUUAAAGCAAAUACUUUUAUUAAUAUAACCUAAUAGUUUAAAGGAAGUAAAUCUUUGCGUCCCAUCUCUAUUGAUAAUACUUCUUUGAGGAAUAUCUCUUAAUGGGUAUGAAAGAGGUGAAUUGUGUUAUUUUGUGCUAUGAAAAUGGAUAAAUUCUUAAUAUAAAUAAUAUUAAAUUCCUUGCCUGAGGUUUGUUCAUGGUCUCCUACAAACUCCACCCCACACUAUGAUAGCUUCACUGUUUUUCACCGAAAAUUACAUGGAGUGGCCAGGCGCGGUGGCUCACGCCUGUAAUCCCAGCACUUUGGGAGGACGAGGUGGGCGGAUCACGUGAGGUCAGGAGUUUGAGACCAGCCUGGCUAACAUGGUGAAACCCCGCAUCUACUAAAAAUACAAAAAAUUAGCCAGGUGUGGUGGCACAUACUUGUAAUCCCAGCUACUCGGGAGGCUGAGGCAGGAGGAUCACUUGAACCGAGGAGGCAAAGGUUGCAGUGAGCCCAGAUAGCACCACUGCACUCCAGCCUGGGCUACAAGAGCAACUCUUAAAAAAAAAAAAAAGAAAAGAAAAAA